rnacentral:miRNA from 1 species
AUCUUCUUGUUGGUUCUUCUGG